UCUUGUCUGGUAGAGGGCAGCCGAAGCGGGCAGACUCGAGAGAGGUGCCUUGGGGGCAGAGGAGGGUUUGUUAUAGGCUUGAGCACAUGGCGUCUUGUGGUCUGAUCGCCUUUGCUGGGUUCUGGCUCCCUGGCUUCCCGGCUGUCUCAGCUCCAAUUUCUGACAUAAGCUGGGGUCCCCACCCUGGCCACCAAGGUGCCACCAUCUUUCGCCUUGGAGCCAAGCAAGUCCCAGCCCUGCAAAGGCACAAGCCUCCUUCCUUCCCCUCCCCCUCCCCAGCCCUGCACACCCCUUCCUGGCAUCCCCUUUUCUCGGACAGAGGCUGGGACCAGGUGAAUGAACAUCAGUUGUUUGUGUUCUUCAGAAGCCCAAAUAUCUGUCUAGAUGGGGCCCAGAUGUUGAGCAAACCCCUUGGGGUGGUGUAGAAGGAUUGUACUGGAGCAGGGGCUACCCCGUUGUGCGUUCCAUGGGGCCUGUCAUUUCUGGGAAGGAGCAGUUAUGUGGAGUGGGGUGCUUCUAGGAGUUUGAGUGGGUGUGGGAUUCUAAUGGAGGUGAAGGACUUUUUCUUGUCUGCCAUCCCAAUGUAUCUGUUCCCAAUGGCCCAAGAGUGCCCCUCCCCCACCCCAGCCUCUGAGAGGUAAGCAGGAAUCACAUGACUAGGGCUCACUCAACCCCUCACCCUGGGAGAAUCCCAGCUGGGGGCUGAGAUCCUUGGCUGGGGUAUGUAGCAGGGAGAAUGUAGGAACUGCCCAUUGCCCCCACAUCCUGUUACUCCCCUCGGUGGCUGGCUGGGAAGGGCUGUAUGGGAGGGGGUGGAGACAAUGCUUCCUCCCCAGGGCAGGGGGAAGGGUCCCUGACUUCCUGUCCUGAGAAGGCGACCCUGUUCCUCUGAUUUGCUCUUCUGGCCAGCAGGCAAGCUCCAACUUCUACCCAACUUACUGCUGUGAUGCUGGCUUGGCUCUUGUGGGGUCCUGGAUAGUGGACUCAUCUGGCCUGGACCCCACAGCUGUGCCAGCCCCACAGGGCCCAGUGUGAAGGCUGGGCAGCCACUAAUCUGUGGAGGUCAUCCCAAGACCACCGGAGACCACCUGCACAGAGAGCCCCUGUCCCUGUCACACCUCUCCCCCACCCCCAAAAAGGCUAAGGUCAAGGGGCACAUCCUUCCAGGCCCACCUCCCUGGUGCUGCCCUUGGCGGCCCCCACCUCAUCCCCUCCUGGGCACUGCUCCCUGCAAGCAUCCUGAAGGGGCACCUGCUGCUGCGUCCCCAGCUCUACUAGGACUGGCCUUCCUCAGUUUCUCCCCAGGGCCUGCAGGGUCUUUCUGGCUCUGGGCCCCUUCCCCAGCCUCCAGCCCCAGGAAGCCCCUCCUCCUCCUCCCCCACCCUCUGCCUGGGGAGCCACAUUCCUAGCAUAACUGAGACAGGUAUGUGUCCCUCCCUGUGCGCCACCUUUGGGUGAGGGAGACCUGCUGCUCUGGAGCAGCCUCUUCUGGAAGGGGACCCCUGCCCCUGCUUUGUCAGGGACGUGGCCUGGCCUCUUCCAGUGCCAGCUGCCCACACACCGUGAACCUGCCCAGGCUGGCAGCUGAGCGGGCAUCUCCUCCAGCCUUCGAACACUGUGCCCUGGCCUGGGCUCUGUCCACACACUCCCACCAGCCCCACCUCUUGAAGACUGGUCCUGGGGCCUCCCUGAAGCCUGUAGGAAGGAUGUAGGCCUGGGGCCCUUCCCUGGUCCUUUCCCUCCCCACUAGGAGCCAGGAGCAGAGAAAGGAAGUGUUGUCUGCCCUUUCUGGGCCUGGCACAGGGACAGGGUCAGAGUGAGUCUGGCAGUGGCCCAGCCUAGCCCUGCCCUGCCCAGCCCUGUAGCUAGGGGUCUUGGCACCCACACUCCUCGCCCUAGCCUGGUCCGGCUGAUUCCGGCAAGCACCCUCCCUUCCUCCCUGCCGAGCCAGCUGUCCAGGGCCUUCUGGAAGGCAGUCCUACAGCUCAGGCUGGGUCCCUGCCCCCCAAUCCCCACCCCCGCCUCUGCAGACACCCCCAGACAGGGACUGGCUCUCCACAGAGGUUGGGGGCAGGUGGAAGUCCAGGGGGAGGUUUCUGGGCUAGCUCCCUUAGAGCUGGGGGCACUCCCCAAUUCCUCUGGGCCUGCCCUACUUCCUCCACAUUCCUCCCUGUUGAGGUGGGAGGUGGUUUCUCCCUGUUCCUGUUUCCCUCUAGACUGUGGGUUCUCACUCCACCCCCUACAGACCUGCCCAUGCCCUGCCUGGCCCCUCCCCUAGGCAGGUCGGCCUAGAGGAGGCAGGUCCAGGCUGGAGGCUGCCCAGCCACCGGGGCUUUCUCUUCCUUCCAGCAGCUGGGGGUGGGGCAUCUGCCCAGGUUGGGUGUGACCCCUCGCUGCACUGUCUGCUCCCCAGCUGGGGGUCCCUGGUAGGAAGUCAGCAUGAAAACGGACUUGUACCGGCUUUGACUUGCCCAGGCCCACCCACCAUGUGCUGGCUUCCUCGCUGGGGCAUCCCUGGGGAAUGGGGGUGGGGAGUGGGCUUUGUUCCUGAAACCAAAGGGCUUUGGAUCCUGUCACUCCCUCUGGGAUGCGCUCCUUUUGGGCAGGAAUGAGCAGGUGGAAACAGCUCUUGGCUUUUUCCAGACCCCACCCCAUCCCCCUGCUCCCCACCCAGAGAAAAGCUCCAGCCUCCAUCCUCCCCUGCAGAUUGGAAAUGGAAAACAAAAA